GUUAUACCCACAGCAAUAUCUGAACUGCACUCAAAUAAGCUGCCCCAGCCCCGGCACUUCAAAGGAGGAGGAGACCAGGCCCUGGGGUGCAGGGAGACGCUUCGGAGAAGAAAACCUGAGAUCUGAGAAUGAGGCUACAAGGCAAAAAAAAAAAAAAAAA